rnacentral:rRNA from 1 species
UUUGUUUAACGGCCGCGGUAUUCUGACCGUGCGAAGGUAGCGUAAUCACUUGUCUUUUAAAUAAAGACUAGUAUGAACGGCAUCACGAGGACUUAACUGUCUCCCCCCUCCAAUCAGUGAAACUGAUCUCCCUGUACAAAAGCGGGGAUAAUCUCAUAAGACGAGAAGACCCUAUGGAGCUUUAAACCAAAAACCACUUGUUUAACCUACUAUAUUAAUUUAGUACUAAAAUAACAGGCCUGAUUAAGGUUUUCAGUUGGGGUGACUGUGGAGAAAAAUAAAUCCUCCAUGAAGAUUUAAGCUUAGAACUAUCGUUCUAAGCAUUAGCAAGCCUAACUUUACUUGAUCCAAUAUUUUGAUCAACGGACCAAGUUACCCUAGGGAUAACAGCGCAAUCCACUUCAAGAGUUCAUAUCGACAAGUGGGUUUACGACCUCGAUGUUGGAUUAGGACAUCCAAGUGGUGCAGCCGCUACUAAGGGUUCGUUUGUUCAACGAUUAAAGUCCUACGUGAUCU